GUUUGAAUGCCAUUGGUAUGUAUAUGAUGAUUUUCUGACCUAGCCAGAACACGCUUAUAAAGAAUUAAUUGUACAACCGUGGAACCUCGGUUGUCCUGUUGGCAUGCUAAAUCAGAAGAGGGUUUACUGUAUUGUAAGAAAGUUAUGUUAGAGUACUAUAUAUAUAUCGAUGUAGCCUUUUGUAUUUACCCCAUUGCAUAAGGGGUUUUCUGCAUAUUUCCUUCACCUGUACAUGUAUAUAUACUGGACUAUGGCACCAUGGGAAUACAAGUUGCAUAUUUCCUAACAUGGUAUUAGAGCUAGGUCAAUUUUUUUGCAUGCUGCAACUCGUGCUAUUGAUCCCCCGUGGCCGCCGCCGCUGCUUUUUCUCUCCAUCGUAGCAGCCGGUCAACCCAAGGCCGCUCCUCUCCUUCCCUGCACGUCCGUGACGCUGCCGUUCAACUCGCUCCCAUCCAGAUCGAAGCGAGCCAAAAAUAUGUUUGGUCCGGCCAGGGGGAAUUUAUUUCACCUAUCUGCGGAUGCCUGGUCGGAAGAAGUGAAACUCACUGCAGAGGAUAAUAUAGUCCUAACCAGUGAAUUCAUAGAGGAAGAGGUGAAAAAAGCAUUGUUCGGCAUGGAUAGUAAUAGGGCACUGGCCCAGACAAUAUCGCGGCUGAGUUUUAUAAGCAUUCUUGGGAUUUUGUUAAAUCUGACAUUAUGCGUUUGUUCCAUGCUUUUCAUAGUAACACUCUGGAUGUGGCUCGUCUAAACUAUGUGGUGAUCACCUUGAUACCCAAAAUGAUGGUGCUAAGAAAAUCCAACAACAUCGCCCUAUUUUUGCUGACAAGCUUAUCAACAAACACCUGAAUGCUUUUAUUAAGCACAAGAAUAUUAUGGAUGGGAUCCUCACUCUCCAUGAGGUGCUACACCAUACUCAUCAAAAGAAAAAAGUGGGCGUAGUGCUUAAGCUAGAUUUUGGAAAAGCCUACAACAAGAUAAACUGGGAUUUCCUCCUUGAAUGCCACAGUAACCGAGGGUUUGAGACAACUUGGUGUGGCUGGGUGAAAAAAAAUCCUGAAUAAUGAUACAGUAAGCAUAAAACUCAAUAAUGAGAUGGGACCUUAUUUCCAGAACUACAAAGGUGUUCGCCAGGGCGAUCCCUAUUCCCCUUUUUCUGUUUAACCUUGCUGUAGAAGCACUUUCUAAGAUGAUUCACAAUGCUCAGAAAGAAAAAAUGAUAACUGGGCUUGCUUCGGACCUCAUAGAGGGUGGCGUGGCCAUCCUCCAAUAUGCUGACGAUACGGUCAUUUGCUUUGAACUGUUGAUGUUAGGAGAAUAGCAACUUGUAUUAUUAGGAGGCUAAUGCCAACAUAUAUACACAUACAUGAGGAUGCCAAAAGGCUACAAGAGGAUGCCAAGAGACUAGAAUACAAAAGGCCAAAAGACAUCACUUAAUAUAACUCUAACACCCCCCCUCCCCCUCAAACUCAUGGUGGAUCCACAACACUGAGUUUGGAGAGGUGAAAUCCAUGUUGCGCUCUAGUCUAAAGCCUUCGUGAAGAAGUCCGCUAGCUGUACCUCAGAAGGCACAUACUGAAGAGCAACAACAUGAUUCUGCACAGCAGCGCGCACAUAAGAAGCAUCAACACCAAUGUGUUUGGUAAGCUCAUGCUUCACGGGGUCCCACGCAAUACUGGUAGCACCUAUGCUGUCUGACAGGAGGGUGGUAGGUGUAGUAACAGAAACACCAAAAUCCUCCAGUAACCAUCGUAACCAUGUCACCUCAGCCGUCAGAAGAGCCAUAGCUCGCAACUCGGCCUCUACUCGAACGAGAAACUGCAGUCUGUUUCUUCGUCUUCCAGGAAAUGAGGGAACCACUAGAAAGACACAGUGGGCAGAAAGUGAACGGCGAUCCGUAGGAUCACUAGCCCACGUAGCAUCCGUAUAGGCCUAGAGCUGUGACGAGCUGGAGAGGGGGAAAAAGAGACGAUGAGAGAUCGUGCCACGAAGAUAUCGUAGAACGCGAAGAAGGUGACUAUAGUGAACUAAAGUGGGAGCAGAAACAAACUGACUCAGAAUAUGGACAGGAUAAGAGAUAUCCGGACGAGUGACAGCAAGAUACACAAGACUCCCAACAAGAUGACGAUAACGUGUCGGAUCAGACAAGGGCUCACCACCAGAAGCACGAAGGUGAACAUUGAGCUCCAUUGGAGUCUCAGCAGUGCGCUCAUAACUAAGAGCCGCACGAGUAAGAAGGCCCUGGAUAUACUUUUCUUGGGAAAUAAAAAAGGCAGCAGAGGUGGAGGAAACCUCAACCCCAAGAAAGUGACGAAGAGGACCAAGAUCAAACAUAAGGAACUGCUCAUUAAGACGGGCCUUGACAAAGGCAAUGUACUCAGAAUCGUCGCCAGUGAUGAUCAUGUCAUCAACAUAUAGAAGAAGAAGAGUGCAUCCACGAGCAGAAAGGUGGACAAACAACGUUGAUCAUGAUCACUGGGUGAAAAACCAGCAGCAGUGACCACAGAGGCAAACCGCUCAAACCAAGCGCGAGGGGCUUGCUUAAGGCCAUAGGGAGAGUGACGAAGAUGACAAACCAUGCCAUCGGGAACUGAAUACCCAGGUGGUGGCUGCAUAUAAACCUCCUCAUGCAACUCACCAUUAAGGAAAGCAUUUUUAACAUCAAGUUGUGACACGGACCAGUGGCGAACAGAGGCCACGGCGAGAAGUGUGCGGACAGUGGUCAUAUGGGCCACAGGAGCAAAUGUCUCGUCAUAAUCACGACCAUGCUCCUGCUGAAAGCCGCGAGCCACAAGACGAGCUUUAUAACGCUCGAGAGAACCAUCAGAGCGCGUCUUAAUCUUAUAGACCCACUUACAAGUGAUGGGACGAACACGGGGAGGAAGAGAAACCAGAUCCCAUGUGCUAUUGCGCUCAAGAGCGGCAAUCUCCUCUGCCAUCGCAAACUGCCAUUCAGGAUGAAUAACAACAUCACGAUAAGAGGUAGGCUCAAGUACAACUGAAAGGCCAUAUUGGCUAGGAGAAUAGCGGUCAGGAGGAGGGCAAGGUCGAGCCCGAAGAUCAUAAGUCGACUGGGACGAGGAAGACGGUGCACCAGAAGUAGAUGGCACGGCAGUAGAUUUGUCCGUAACACGUCGACGACGGGUAUAAUGAGAAGGGAAAGUGGGAUGGGAAGGAACCACCGGAGGUGAUGGAGAUGGAGAAGACAUCGGUGAUGAAGGUGGAGUGUCAUGCAAUAAGGAAGGAGAAGAAACGAUAGGAGAAGAUGGUGUCGGAUCUGCAGGGACAAGGAGGAGUAGGAAUAUGAGGCACAGAGGGAGGUGUAUCAGGAAACGUGAGAAAAGAGAUAUCCUCUACUGAAAAGGUCGAAGAGGAUGGUCGUGGGUAGAAUGGACGAGACUCAUCAAAAGUCACAUCCCUAGAAAUACGCAUCCGUCGACCAAUAGGAUCCCAACACCGAUAACCCUUAUGUUCAUCAUUGUAGCCCAGAAAAACACACUCGACAGACCGAGCGGUUAGUUUGGUGUGUUCUCGAGGGGGGGGGGGAGGAGAACAUAACAAACACAACCAAACAACCGAAGAGCAGAACAAUCAGGAGAAUGAUCAGAAAGACGCUCUAGAGGAAUACCUCCCUGUAGAGCAGAUGAGGGUUGAAUGUUUAUGAGAUAUGUGGUAGUGGAGACAGCCUCAGCCCAGAAAUGAGGUGGAAGAGAGGCGGAAAUCAUCGUCGCACGAGCUGUCUCAAGAAGGUGACGAUGCUUGCGCUUGGCGCCAUUUUGAGCGUGAGCACCGGGACAAGAGAACUGAGCAAGAGUACCCUGCUCAGCAAGAAAACCACGCAACAUUUUGGAGAUAUACUCGCCAGCAGAAUCAGCACGAAACACGCGAAUAGGUGUAGAGAACUGAGUGUGGACCAUGGCGGCAAACCGCUUAUAAAUAGAGAGAACCUCACUACGAGAAGACAUGAAGUAAAGGCAAGUGUAGCGAGAGAAAUCAUCUAUAAAAAUAAUAUAGUAGCGAUGGCCCCCUUUAGAAGAGAAGGGAGCCGGACCCCACACAUCUGAAUGUACUAAAUCAAAAGGGUGCUGAGACACUGACUCGCUAGUAGGAUAAGGUAACUGAACUUGUUUACCAAGCCUACAACCCUGACACUGCAAGGAGACAUCUCCUGAGACAGGCCCCAGAAGACCACGACGAACUAAAGACGAUAGUCGAGAACCACAAAGGUGACCAAGUCAGUGAUGCCACUGCUGGAAGGAGCUGGUAGCUGAAGCGACGAAGGCAGAUGGACUGGCGAGUGUGGUGGUAGCGGAAGGAACAUUAAGCCAGUCCAACUCCCAAAGCCCCUGAGAAUCAUGGCGGCGCGGGCCAGCCCCAACUAGAGCCUUCGUGUGGCGAUCCUGGAUAGUGCAAGAAUCAACGCCAAGAAUGACAUGACAACCAGAAUCAGUAAGCUGACCCGCAGAAAAUAGGUUCGUGGUCAGGCGAGGCACAUGAGAAACAUCUGGAACAUAAAAGGAAGAAGUGGCAAGAGUGCCCGACUCGCAACAGGAAGAGGAGUACCAUCAACAGUAAGAACAUUAAUAGGAAAAUCGAGAGAUCUACGAGAGGACAAGACAGAAGAAUCGGAGGACAUAUGAAAUGAAGCUCCAGAAUCCAGAACCCAUGGGGAUGUACCUGACUGUGUAGACAGUGGUCGCUCAACACUAGAAGCACCAAUCACAGAGCCUGCAAUACCUGUCGAAGAACCUGAAGCAGCAAGUAGACGGCGUCGAGGAAGAAGCACGAGUCCCAGAAGAAGAAUUGCGCUCCCUAUUACGCAUAUCACGCUUCUUCUUGAAGCAAUCAGACUCGGGGUGACCAUCCCUGUUGCAGUAGUCACAAUGAGUACGAGGACGAGAGCGGCCUUCACGAGAGCGGGCCUCACUACCCAGAGGAGUGGGUAGUAGUGGCCGAGCACUGGAGCGAGAAGACACUGGUGGAGUAGCAGCUCGAGCACCGAGCAUAGAGGGAACCUGAAGCAAACCAGCACCACGAAGGCGAGUCUCCUCAACACGAAGCUCAGAAAGCACCUCGGAAAUAGGAACACAGCCACGAGCAAACAACUGAGCACGUCGAGGCUCGAACUCCCCAUGGAGCCGUGACAAGAACUCAUAGACGCGCUGAAACUCCAAGUCUGACCUCACAGUCUGGCAACACGGGCAAGUGCCACAAACAGUAGUGCGAAGGGAGUCAAGCUGGCGCCAGAUAGCAGAACUCUGAGUGUAGAACUCAUCAAUAGUGGAGUCUCCCUGCUGAAGAGCAUGCUCCUGACGGACCACAGACAAAUAGAGAGCAUCACCAGAGGGCUGAUAGCGCUGACGAAGAUGAGUCCACAUCUCAAAGACAGUACCGAGGCCUAUAAACUCACAAGCAAACUGAGGCAAAACACUAGAAGUGAGAACAGUCGCAGCACGAGCAUCAUCGUCACACCACUGAGUGUAAGCAGCCAGAUCGUCACGAUAAACAGAAAGAGCAUUUGAAUAAUCCAAGACCUCCUGGUCAUAAGCGGCAGCUGCAUCAUCAGCAGCAACCGUGGCUGUAGCCCUAUCAGCAUCAGAAGCAUUUGCGUCAAGAGCCAGUGGCGUCGGCGGUGGGGUAGGAGCCACAGGUGGCAUUGGGCGCAAAGGACAGGGGACCUCACCGAAAAGAACACCCCACAGACGAAUGCCACACAUGUGAAUGCGCAUAAAGGCAACGAACUCAACAUAGUUAGCCCAUCGAAUAUCACUGGGCAGCGCGGGAUGGCAACAUAGCCAGAUGAUGCCAAAGACAUGGUGCUCCUUUUCUGUCACGAAGACUCAACUGGCCAAGGUGAGAGCGGCCAGAACCAGCAGCAGAUCAAUCAGACGAAAAGAAAAGGCAAGCUGACUGAGGCAGGCCAAACACGGCGGCCCACAGCAGCCCAAGGCAGCGAUCGAUCUGGACUUAAACAGCGGCAGUUUCACACACACGCACGCGAGCGCCCGUAGAAGUCAGCAGUGACUCGGAGAGGGCGGGGCCGUACGGGCGGCCGGAGGAGCGCCGGGCGGCGACCGGAAGUGUAGACUUCGAUGGGCGGCGGCCGGAAGAGCAACCCCCGAUGGGCGGCGGGCGGCGGCUGGAAGACGAGCUGAGCGGUGGCCGGACGAGAUCCAGCGGCAGUUGACAGAGACAGCCGGCGGCGGAGAUCAGGUUGGUGGUGGCUGGCAACUUGAAUCAGGAAGAGGAUCGGAUCGAUCCGGAUCUACAGCAGCGGAAGGAGCUCCAGGCAACAAAAGCCUUCGGCCUGGAUCGAGCACGGCAGGCUGUAUGGGUGCUGCCAGCAGAGGAGGGAGGUAACAACGAUGUGGAACAACACAGCCAAGAUGUGGAUCGAAAGGGCAAGUUGCGCUACCCGGAGAAAAAAUUCCCUAACCUAGGCUCAUGAUACCAUGUUAAUGUUAGGAGAAUAGCAACUUGUAUUAUUAGAAGGCUAAUGCCAACAUAUAUACACAUACAUGAGGAUGCCAAAAGGCUACAAGAGGAUGCCAAGAGACUAGAAUACAGAAGGCCAAAAGACAUCACUUAAUAUAACUCUAACAUGAACAUUAUGAGGAUGCUGCUGCCAAUUUGAAACUCUUAUAUAUCUUUGAGCUUAUGUCUGGACUCAAAAUAAACUUCCUUAAAAGCGAAUUUUUGUGUGUUGGGGGAGACGAUAAUAUACUAGCUUCCUAUGCGGAACUAUUCAACUGUCAAAUUGGGCAUUUCCCGAUGGAAUACUUGGGAGUGCCGGUAAGCUACUCCACCUUGCGUAGCCUAGACUGGAGUUUUGUAGAUGACAAAUUCCUAAAAUAUUGUGAAUCGUGGAUUGGUAAUGCCGCAUCCUCGGGUGGAAGACUUGUACUCCUAAAUUCCUCCCUUUCUAGCAUUGUCUAUUACUAAAUGGCUAUGUUGGUGAUCUACAAAUUAGACAAACAUCGUAAAAAGUUCUUCUGGCAAGAAACUAAUGGCAGGAAACGAUAUCAUCUUGUGAGAUGGACCAGGAUCUGCAGAUCUAAGAAUAAAGGGGGAUUGGGGGGUGAAAGAUCUCCGUAAGCAAAAUAUUAGCUUACUCACGAAAUGGUGGUGGAAACUCGAGACACAACAAGGGUUGUGGCAGGUUGUGAUUCGAGCUAAGUACUUGAAAAAAGAUAUGGUGACAUCGGUGAGAAGUAGAUUCGGAGAUUCACCGUUUUGGAAGAGGGGUGGUCCUGAAAUCAGGCAACAUUGCUAGAAUGUGGAUUGACUCCAUUGCCAAUAAUCCUCCUUUGCGUGAUAGAUUCCUUGAACUUUAUAGUAUAUGCAGUGAUCAGGAGAUUACAGUUGCCGAGUUUUAAAAAAAAUGUUGGCGUCGAUUUCUUUAGGAGGCGCUUGCACCCUCCGCUGCUGGAUCAGUGGGGGGAAGUCAAGCGAGUGGUUGAUUCCUAGUUACUCUCCAAUGAGCCGGACCAAGUAGUCUGGAAUCUUGGGAAGAAUAAAUGCUUCACAACUAAGUCUGUAUACACAUACAUGGAAAAGCAUCUAGCUGGCUGUGAUUAUAGAUGGAUAUGGAAAGCUGAACUCCCUCUUAAGAUUCAAAUCUUUUUAUGGCAAUUAUUCCAGGAUGCUGUGUUGACACGAGAUGUCAUGAGCAGACGAAACUGGGCUGGAAACCCGAAGUGCUCCUUUUGUAUGGAUAGAGAAACCUCGCAUCACCUUUUCUUCACCUGCCCUGUUGCCAGGGUAGUCUAUAUAGGGUAGUCUGGAGAACCGUUGGGUGUCGUGGGCACGAAUUAUGCCCGAACAAUCUGUGGCAAUACUUCUUCACCUGGUGUUAUAUUUUCUUGCCGGGUGGAUCUAAAUUCUAUACCUUUGGCCUUGCUGCGAUAUGCUGGGCUAUGUGGAACUGUCGCAACAGGGCCACAUUUGAACAUAAAAAGCUAAAGACUCCUUUUGUUGUGGUUUUCUCUGCGUGUGGUUUCUUGAACUACCGGGCAGGUCUAAUGGCUGGAGUUGAUCGCGAUGCAAUGGAACGUGGCGCCAAGAUGCUCAAGACCAACACUGCAACUAUGAUGAGGAUUUGCGCGGCCCCAGCUGAACCAGCGAUGGACUGACGAGUUGAUGCCGUCCUGCCUUACAUUAGAAAAAAUGCCUAGCUGUUAUGUUAGACUUUUGAUCGUUGCACCUGCGUGGGCUUUUGCUUUCUGCUCAUCCUGUGAGCCUUACCCCCUCUGGAGAUUGUUUGUUGGUACCCUCGUUGCGCUGGUUAGGCUAAUUGGUUUUUAGGUGUCACUGGGUUUUCGCCUCAUAAUGAGCUGCUCGAUGACGAGUGCUUACAGUGGGUUUCCUAGUGGUGCCUUGAACUUGCUUUCCCCUUUCUAGCUUCCUUAAGCUCGAACUACUGUAUUUCUGUUAUGAUAAGUAAUGAAAAGGGGUUAUGCCCGUUAAAAAAAAGAUCGAAGCGAGCCUCCAGCAAUCGAUUCAGAUCGAAGCCAGCUCCAAGAGCCUCCUGCUCGCGAUCGAUCCAGAUCAAGCCCGCACAGGGGUCUCCGCCCGCGAUCAAUCUUCCGCCGCCCCUCACCGGAUCCGGCCACUAGUCGCCGGUCUUCGUCGCCCAUGUCUGGUUUGGCCGCCCCUCGCCGGAUUCCACCACCUCUGGCUAGUCUCUGUCGCCCUCGCUGGAUCACGCCCCUGUUCCUGGCUCUCGUCUCUUCCAUCUGGUGCCGCCCCGAGCGCUGACUGUGGUUGAUCAUUGGGACCCUCUGUCUGUACUGCUGCCUACCUGGUGAUUGCCAAAAAAUUGUCUACAACAUCGGGCUAUAAUGCAGUUCCUCGUUGUCCAGUGAUUUUUGAUGGCACCAACUACAUCGAGUUCGUUGCCUUCAUGCGCAUUCAUAUGCGUGGCAUUCGUCUGUGGGGCGUUCUUCCUGGCGAGGUCCGUUGUCCGCCGUGCCCGGUUCCUCUUGUGGCCCCUACUUCAUCGACACUACCGGUUGUUGCUGCUGAUGCUACUCAGGCUGCGAAGGAUGCAGCUAAGCUUGCUGAUGAUGCCGUCGUUUGUGCUUAUGAUGAGCAGGUUUUGACUUAUGAGGAGGCUCUUCACAUGUAUCAUGAGGCUUUGUCUGCUUAUACUCAGUGACUUGAUGGUGAUGCUCGUGCCGCAGCUAUUCUCACUGCUAGCGUUCUGCCUCAGUUUGCCUCUGAGUUCUUGGGCCUCCCUACCGUAUUUGAGAUGUGGACCCGUCUUCGUCAGCGCUACCAGCCCUCUGGUGAUGCCUUAUACCUGUCUGUGGUCCGCCAGGAGCAUGCUCUUCAGCAGGGUGACUCCACUGUUGAUGAUUUCUAUGCACAGAGUUUUGCUAUCUGGCGUCAGCUUGAUUCUCUCCACAGUGCUGGUUGCCGUACUUGCCAGUGUUGCCAGGCUAUGCAGGCUGAUUUGGAGUUUCAUCAUGUCUACGAGUUCUUGUCUUUUUGUCUCGGCUCCGUAAGGAGUUUGAGCCCCGACGCGCUCAAUUGUUUGCUUGUGGCCGUAUUUCUCUCAUGGAGGCGCUUUCAGAGAUUCGUGCUGAGGAGACUCGCUUACGUGGUGCUGGUUUACUUGAGGUUUCCUCUGUGCUUGCUAUUCAAGCUCCUGCUAUGCCGCAUGCUGCACCGACUACUCCCCGCUCCAGUGCUCCGCUGCUCUUGCCCACUCCUACUGGCGGUCAGGGCCGCUCUCGUGCUCACUUGGGUACUGUAACCAGGAUGGUCAUGUUGAGUUUCAGUGCUUCCAGAAGAAGCGACACGUGCGUAAGGCGCGGACAUCAUCUUCAGGGACUUCUACUUCUACUUCGACAUCUUCAGCCACUGCCUUGAUUGAGCAGGAUAUUCUAAGACUUAAGCGUCUGCUUGCCGCUUCAGGUUCUUCGACGGGUACUGCAGGUUCUGUGACUGAUGCUUCCCGCACUGAGCAACCACCCACUACAGAGUCAGGAUCGUCGCACGCACACUUUGGUUGGGACUGGCCCUCGCCGCCGUGAUUCUCAGGGUCUUUAAGAGUUAGACUGGCUUCAUGUUCCUUCCGCUGCCACCACGAUCGCCAGUUCAUCCGCUUCUGUCGCUUCAGCUACCGGCUCCUCCCAGCAGUCGCAUCAUCGACUUGGUCAUCUUUGUGGUUCUCGUUUGUCAUCUUUUGUUCGUAGAGGUCUUCUGGGGUCUGUCUCAGGAGAUGUCUCUUUAGAGUGUCAAGGUUGUAGACUUGGCAAACAGAUUCAGUUACCUUAUCCCACUAGUGAGUCAGUGUCUCAACGUCCUUUUGAUUUAGUUCAUUCUGAUGUAUGGGGUCCGGCUCCCUUCGCAUCGAAAGGGGUCAUCGAUACUAUAUUAUUUUCAUAGAUGAUUUCUCUUGUUACACUUGGCUUUAGUUUAUGACUUCUCGCAGUGAGGUUUUGUCCAUUUAUAAGCAUUUUCCUACCAUGGUUCGCACGCAGUUCUCUUCGCCCAUUCGUGUGUUUGUGCUGACUCCGCUGGCGAGUAUAUUUUCAAGAUGUUGCGUGGUGUUGUUGCUGAGCAGGGGACUCUUUCUCAGUUCUCUUGUCUUGGUGCUCAUGCUCAGAAUGGUGUGGCUGAGCGAAAGCAUCUUCAUCUUCUUGAGACGGCUUGUGCGUUGAUGAUUGCCACCUCUCCUCCGCCUCAUUUUUGGGCUGAGACUGUCUCCGCCUCCACCUAUCUCAUCAACCUUCAGCCAUCCGUUGCUCUACAAGGCGGCAUUCCCUUCGAGCGUCUCUUUGAUCGUUCUCCUGAUUAUUCGGCGCUUCGUUUGUUUGGUUGUGUUUGCUAUGUUCUUCUUGCCCCCCGUGAAUGCACCAAACUGACCACUCAGUAUGUCGAGUGUCUUCUUAGGCUAUAGUGAUGAGCAUAAGGGCUAUCGUUGUUGGGAUCCAUCAGCCAUCGGAUGCGUAUUUCUCGGGAUGUGAUUUUUGAUGAGUCUCGUCCCUUCUAUCCGCGACCAUCUUCCUCGACCUUUUCAGUGGAGGAUCUCUCUUUCCUCAACUUUUCCGGACACCUAUCACUCCUGUCGAGCCCUUGUCUAUUCGUCAUGCUACCCCUGCUUCUCCGCCUAUUGUUGAUCCUCCGUCACCAUCUCCCAUGGUUUCCUCACCUCGCCUGUUAGCGGAUUCUGCACCUUCAUCCUGGUGACUUCUUCGACUCCAUCCCCUGAGUCUAACUUGGAGAUUCCUCCAUCUUUUCCUCAGUAUUAUACUCGUCGUUCGCAUGUCGUGGAUGCAUCUACUGAUGAGCUAUCUACUUCUGAUGUGUCAUCUUCCUCUUCUCAACCUACUUAUGGCUUGCAUUCUCGCCCGCUUCCGCCUGUUGAUCGCCUUAGUUUUCCAACCGUCGGUGCUGCUGUUCUUGAGCUGACUUAUCGUCAAGUUGUUGUUCAUCCUGAAUGGCAGUUUGCGAUGGCAGAGGAGCUUGCUGCCCUUGAGCGUACCGGCAAGUGUGACCUUGUUUCCCUUCCUCCUGGUGUUCGUCCAAUCACUUGUAAGUGGGUCUACAAGGUUAAGACUCGCUCUGAUGGUUCUCUUACAAAGCUCGUCUCAUGGCUCGUGGUUUUCAACAAGAGUAUGGUCGUGAUUACGGUGAGACUUUUGCUCCUGUGGCCCAUGUAACCAUAGUUCGCACUCUUCUUGCCGUGGCUUCUGUUCGCCACUGGUUUGUAUCUCAGCUUGAUGUUAAGAAUGCCUUUCUUAAUGGUGAGCUGCACGAGGAGAUUUACAUGCAGCCCCCACCUGGGUAUUCUGUUCCUGAUGGCAUGGUAUGCCGUCUUCGUCGCUCUCUUUAUGGCCUUAAGCAAGCCCCUUGUGCCUGGUUUGAGCGUUUUGCUUUUGUGCUGACUGCCACUGGUUUUUCAGCGAGUGCUGAUGAUCCAGCGUUGUUUGUCCAUCUUUCAGCUCGUGGUCGGGCUCUUCUUCUUCUCUAUGUCCAUAUUCUGAGUUAGUUUGUCUCCACCCCCACUUUGGUUUACUAUAGUCACCUCCUUCAUGUUCUUCGAUAUCUUCGGUGCACGAUCUCUCACCGCCUAUUCUUUCCUUGCUCCGGUUCCUUACAACUUCAGGCCUAUUCGGAUGCUACGUGGGCUAGUGAUCCCUCGGAUCGCCGUUCACUUUCUGCUUAUUGUGUUUUUUCUUUGGUGGUUCUCACAUUGCCUGGAAGAUGAAGAAGCAGAUUGCGGUUUCGUGUUUGAGUGCAGAGGCUGAGUUGCGAGCUAUGCUCUUCUGACGGCAGAGGUGACUUGGUUACGGUGGUUACUUCAGGACUUUGGUGUUUCUGUCACUACACCUACUAUGCUCUUGUCUGACAGUAUAGGUGCUAUUAGCAUUGCGCGCGACCCUGUGAAGCAUGAGCUCACCAAGCAUAUUGGUGUUGAUGCCUUCUAUGUGCGUGCUGGUGUGCAAGAUCAGGUUAUUGCUCUUCAGUAUGUGCCUUCUGAGUUACAAUUGACGGAUUUCUUUACAAAGGCCCAGACUAGAGCACAGCAUGGCUUCUAUCUCUCCAAACUCAGUGUUGUUCAUCCACCAUGAGUUUUAGGGGGCGUGUUAGAGUACUAUAUAUAUAGCCAAUGUAGCCUUUUGUAUUCACCCCAUUGUAUAAGCGGUUUUCUGCAUAUUUCCUGCACCUGUACAUGUAUAUAUACUGGCCUAUGGCACCAUAGGAAUACAAGUUGCAUAUUUCCUAACAAGUUACAGGCAUGUAACAACACAAAAGUAGGGUUGCUUAGCGGCAGCAAAACUAUCUUGCACCAUGCGUAAUCUUAAUUCUUGAAUAAUAAAAAUUGAGCUAUAGGAUUUAGAUGAUACAUGGAAAUUAGAGAAAUAGGGGGAUGCGAUGUUGAUACGAGUGAUAAAAAGCGUUGGAUGCUAGAGUCUUCCCUUGGAUAUAAAGUGGGGGAUGUGACAUAGAAAUUAUCCACACUAUGUAGUUCACCCUGAUAAAAUAAGAGCAUUCUUGUUCCUACUUCAGUCUCAUAUACACCAACAGAUACGAACAUAACUCACAUUUCAGCCUUUGAAGAAAGAAAUAUCUUGUUGAGGGAAUAUCUAAAUUAUACCAUGGGUCCCUCUUAAUCCUAAGUGGCAUUCACACAAACGGUCAACACAAGUCAAAAUCGGUCAACAAAAGUCCAAUCAAGUCCUCAUGGUCAACAAGUCAAAAGAAGAUGAGAAAAUAGAGGACCAAGUCAAACAAAUGAGCCCAAGUCAAGAAGAGGCCCAACCAUAGUAGCCGGGUUCAUGGGUCGAGGUUGCGUACCUUGAACCGGGGUCAAUCGACCCUGGUCGAGGGUUCGGGACGAGUUGGGGUCCAGCUGGGUUGUUGGAUAGAUCGUGACCCCAAUCGAUGGAUGAUACCCCCAGAUCUGUAUGCAAGGCAAGACCAUCUAUAUUAGAAAUUGAGGCUUACCAGCCAAUCGCGCUCCAAUUUUAUGAACUC